AUACGGAGGAUCCGAGCGUUAUCCGGAUUUAUUGGGUUUAAAGGGUGCGCAGGCGGCCAUUUAAGUCAGCGGUUAAAUCGUGGGGCUCAACCCCAUUCUGCCGUUGAUACUGGUGGCUUGAUUGCGGUCGAGGUUGGCGGAAUUCGUUGUGUAGCGGUGAAAUGCAUAGAUAUGACGAAGAACACCGAUUGCGUAGGCAGCUGACCAGACCGCAAAUGACGCUCAUGCACGAAAGUGCGGGGAUCGAACAGGAUUAGAUACCCUGGUAGUCCGCACAGUAAACGAUGAAUACUUGUUUUCGGCGAUAUAAUGUCGGAGGCAAAGCGAAAGCGAUAAGUAUUCCACCUGGGGAGUACGCCGGCAACGGUGAAACUCAAAUGAAUUGACGGGG
rnacentral:rRNA from 1 species